rnacentral:rRNA from 1 species
CCUACGGGGGGCAGCAGUAGGGAAUUUUCGGCAAUGGGGGGAACCCUGACCGAGCAACGCCGCGUGAACGAAGAAGUUAUUCGUAAUGUAAAGUUCUUUUAACAGGGAAGAAAGAGAAAUUUGACGGUACCUGAAGAAUAAGCUCCGGCUAACUACGUGCCAGCAGCUGCGGUAAUACGUAGGGCGCGAGGUUUAUCCGGAUUUCUUGGGCGAAAAGGGUUCGUAGAUGGCUUAGUAGUUCUAUGGUAAAAAUGCUGGCCUAAACCCAGUAGGGCAAAAGAUACUGGAAAGCUAGAGUAUGACAGAGGCGAGUGGAACUACAUGUGUAGCGGUAAAAUGCGUAAAUAUAUGGAAGAACACCAGUGGCGAAGGCGGCUUGCUGGAUCGAUACUGACAUUGAGGUACGAAAGCGUGGGGAGCAAACAGGAUUAGAUACCCUAGUAGUC